rnacentral:rRNA from 1 species
CCUGAUGGAGUGGAUCAGUGGCGACGGGUGAGUAACACGUGAGCAACCUGCCCCAAACUCUGGAAUAAGCGCUGGAAACGGCGUCUAAUACUGGAUAUGAGAAGAACCUGCAUGGGUAUCUUCUGGAAAGUUUUUCGGUUUGGGAUGGGCUCGCGGCCUAUCAGCUUGUUGGUGAGGUAAUGGCUCACCAAGGCGACGACGGGUAGCCGGCCUGAGAGGGCGACCGGCCACACUGGGACUGAGACACGGCCCAGACUCCUACGGGAGGCAGCAGUGGGGAAUAUUGCACAAUGGGCGAAAGCCUGAUGCAGCGACGCCGCGUGAGGGAUGACGGCCUUCGGGUUGUAAACCUCUUUCAGCAGGGAAGAAGCGAAAGUGACGGUACCUGCAGAAGAAGCACCGGCUAACUACGUGCCAGCAGCCGCGGUAAUACGUAGGGUGCGAGCGUUGUCCGGAAUUAUUGGGCGUAAAGAGCUUGUAGGCGGUUUGUCGCGUCUGCUGUGAAAAUCCGGGGCUCAACCCCGGACUUGCAGUGGGUACGGGCAGACUAGAGUGUGGUAGGGGAGACUGGAAUUCCUGGUGUAGCGGUGAAAUGCGCAGAUAUCAGGAGGAACACCGAUGGCGAAGGCAGGUCUCUGGGCCACUACUGACGCUGAGAAGCGAAAGCAUGGGGAGCGAACAGGAUUAGAUACCCUGGUAGUCCAUGCCGUAAACGUUGGGCGCUAGGUGUGGGACUCAUUCCACGAGUUCCGUGCCGCAGCUAACGCAUUAAGCGCCCCGCCUGGGGAGUACGG